rnacentral:rRNA from 1 species
AGUCGAACGAGGUCUGUAGCAAUACAGAUACUCGUGGCGAACGGGUGCGUAACACGUGGAUAACCUUCCUUCAGGUGGGGAAUAACCUCGCGAAAGCGAGGCUAAUACCGCAUAACAUGACGAUGGCUCAUGCUGUUGUCUUCAAAGCCGCAAGGCGCCAGAAGAGGGAUCCGCGGCCGAUUAGCUUGUUGGCGAGGUAAUGGCUCACCAAGGCAAUGAUCGGUAGCCGGUCUGAGAGGACGAUCGGCCACACUGGAACUGAGACACGGUCCAGACUCCUACGGGAGGCAGCAGUGGGGAAUCUUGCGCAAUGGACGAAAGUCUGACGCAGCAACGCCGCGUGGGGGAUGAAGCUUCUCGGAGUGUAAACCCCUUUCGACCCGGACGAAUGCCCGCAAGGGUUUGACGGUACGGGUAUAAGAAGCCCCGGCUAACUACGUGCCAGCAGCCGCGGUAAAACGUAGGGGGCCAGCGUUGCUCGGAAUUACUGGGCGUAAAGGGUCCGUAGGCGGUGUGGCAAGUCGGAAGUGAAAUCUCUGGGCUUAACUCAGAGGCUGCUUCCGAAACUGCUGUGCUAGAGUGUGAGAGAGGCGAGUGGAAUUGCGGGUGUAGCGGUGAAAUGCGUAGAUAUCCGCAGGAACAUCCGAGGCGAAAGCGGCUCGCUGGAUCACAACUGACGCUGAGGGACGAAAGCUAGGGGAGCAAACA